AUGGACUGGACCUGGAGGAUCCUCCUCUUGGUGGCAGCAGCCACAGGUGCCCACUCCCACGUCCAGCUGGUGCAGUCUGGGGCUGAGGUGAAGCAGCCUGGGUCCUCAAUGAAGGUCUCCUGCAAGGCUUCUGGAUACACCUUUACUAGCUCUGUUAUGCAGUGGGUGCGACAGGCCCCUGGACAAGGCCUUCAGUGGAUAGGACGGAUCUGCCCUUACAAUGGUAACACGAAGUAUGCACAGAACUUCCAGGGCAGAGUCACCAUGACCACGGACACGUCCACGAGCACAGCCUGCAUAGAGCUGGGCAGCCUGAGAUCUCAGGACACAGUCGUGUAUUACUGUGCGAAAGACACACAGUGUGACAACCCACAUCCUGAGAGUGUCAGAAACCCCAGGAAGGAGACAGCUGUGGUGGCAUGGAGGAGAUGA